rnacentral:miRNA from 1 species
GUGGGCGGGGGCUGGUGGGUGCAGAGGGAGCUGAGCCCAGGAGGGUCUCUGCUCCCUGCCUCUGCCUCC